UUGGAGGGAAAACAACAAUGGGACAUAGUGGACCCUAGAUUCAAGCUUUGCACUCCAAUUUUGAAAAAAGCAACAGGUACACCAAGGAAGAGUCGAUUCAGACCUCACAGCAAAGGAGCUGGACUUGGAGUGAGGAUGCGUAAGUGCAUAACGUGUGGUUGGUCUGGUCAUUUUAGUAAGUAUUGUGAUAACACCGUAGAUCCAGCAUUUGGAGAGUGUUCCGAUGAAGGCUUUGAUGAAAAUGUUGGUUAGCAGUCGAUUGCAAUAUAUGAUGCAAAUGAUGGUCAACAACCGGUUGCAGCAGAUGAGGAUUUUAACAAGGUUCCAAAUGAUGAUGGUCAACAGCCACAUGAUUUUGACGAUGAUCCAAAUGAUGAUUUCGACGAUGAUCCAAAAGAUCCUCCAAAUGAUGAUCCAAGUGAGGCUCCAAAUGAUGAUCCAAGUGAGGCUCCGAAUGGUUAUCCAAGUGAGGCUCCAAAUGGUGACCAACCUUCUGUUGUUGUGAGUUCUUCUAGGUACGUAAAUCUUGCAAUACUACUUUACAUUUGUCACUUGACAUGA
rnacentral:rRNA from 1 species